rnacentral:rRNA from 1 species
UGCCAGACUCCUACGGGAGGCAGCAGUGAGGAAUAUUGGUCAAUGGGCGGGAGCCUGAACCAGCCAAGCCGCGUGAAGGAAGAAGGCGCCAGGCGUCGUAAACUUCUUUUGUCGGGGAACAAAGGGCGCCACGCGUGGCGUUGUGAGUGUACCCGAAGAAAAAGCAUCGGCUAACUCCGUGCCAGCAGCCGCGGUAAUACGGAGGAUGCGAGCGUUAUCCGGAUUUAUUGGGUUUAAAGGGUGCGUAGGCGGGAUGCCAAGUCAGCGGUAAAAAUGCGGUGCUCAACGCCGUCGAGCCGUUGAAACUGGCGUUCUUGAGUGGGCGAGAAGUAUGCGGAAUGCGUGGUGUAGCGGUGAAAUGCAUAGAUAUCACGAAGAACUCCGAUUGCGAAGGCAGCCUACUAAACUGCCACUGACAUUGAUGCUCGAAAGUGUGGGUAUCAAACAGGAUUAGAUACCCCUGUA